UACGUAGGUGGCAAGCGUUGUCCGGAUUUAUUGGGUUUAAAGGGUGCGUAGGCGGCCCCAUAAGUCAGUGCUGAAAUACUCUAGCUCAACUAGAGGGGUGGCAUUGAUACUGCGGGGCUUGAGUGGAGUCGAGGUAGGCGGAAUUGACGGUGUAGCGGUGAAAUGCGCAGAUAUCAGGAGGAACACCGGUGGCGAAGGCGGAUCUCUGGGCCUUACCUGACGCUCAGGCACGAAAGCUAGGGGAGCGAACAGG
rnacentral:rRNA from 1 species